rnacentral:rRNA from 1 species
AGAGUUUGAUCCUGGCUCAGAAUCAACGCUGGCGGCGUGCCUAACACAUGCAAGUCGAACGAGAAAGUGGAGCAAUCCAUGAGUAAAGUGGCGCACGGGUGAGUAACACGUGACUAACCUACCCUUGAGUGGGGGAUAACCUAGAGAAAUCUGGGCUAAUACCGCAUAAUACCUUCGGGUCAAAGGAGCAAUUCGCUUAAGGAGGGGGUCGCGGCCGAUUAGUUAGUUGGCGGGUAAUGGCCCACCAAGACUAUGAUCGGUAUCCGGCCUGAGAGGGCGCACGGACACACUGGAACUGAAACACGGUCCAGACUCCUACGGGAGGCAGCAGUGGGGAAUUUUGCGCAAUGGGGGAAACCCUGACGCAGCAACGCCGCGUGGAGGAUGAAGUCCCUUGGGACGUAAACUCCUUUCGAUCGGGACGAUAAUGACGGUACCGAGAGAAGAAGCCCCGGCUAACUUCGUGCCAGCAGCCGCGGUAAUACGAGGGGGGCGAGCGUUGUUCGGAAUUAUUGGGCGUAAAGGGUGCGUAGGCGGUUUGGUAAGUCUUGUGUGAAAUCUUCGGGCUCAACUCGAAGUCUGCAUGAGAAACUGCCGGGCUUGAGUGUCGGGAGAGGCGAGUGGAAUUCCCGGCGUAGCGGCUGAAAUGCGUAAGAUAUCGGGAGGAACACCUGUGGCGAAAGCGGCUCACUGGACCACAACUGACCGCUGAAGGCAC